GUCCAUGGCCAGACUACCCAGAAUGUGCCCCAUCUCGUCUGAUCUUGAAAGCUGAGCAGGGUCAGGCCUACUUAGUACGUGGAUAUGAGAAAAAGGUAUUUGGAGACC
rnacentral:rRNA from 1 species